AGCGAACGCUGGCGGCAGGCCCAACACAUGCUAGUCGAACGGACCCUUCGGGGUUAGUGGCGGACGGGUGAGUAACACGUGGGAACGUGCCUUUAGGUUCGGAAUAGCUCCUGGAAACGGGUGGUAAUGCCGAAUGUGCCCUUCGGGGGAAAGAUUUAUCGCCUUUAGAGCGGCCCGCGUCUGAUUAGCUAGUUGGUGGUGUAACGGACCACCAAGGCGACGAUCAGUAGCUGGUCUGAGAGGAUGAUCAGCCACAUUGGGACUGAGACACGGCCCAAACUCCUACGGGAGGCAGCAGUGGGGAAUCUUGCGCAAUGGGCGAAAGCCUGACGCAGCCAUGCCGCGUGAAUGAUGAAGGUCUUAGGAUUGUAAAAUUCUUUCACCGGGGACGAUAAUGACGGUACCCGGAGAAGAAGCCCCGGCUAACUUCGUGCCAGCAGCCGCGGUAAUAC
rnacentral:rRNA from 1 species